UACUUGCCAACAGUGCGUAACAGAGACGUGACCGACCGCCCAAGCGGCUAUCGAGCAGUGGUGAAGAGGAUUAAAGUAAAAAGUGAAAAGUUAAUUUGUAUAGUUUGGAAUAUACUGGGUAAUAUAUAUAGUUUAGAAUAUACUGGGUAAUAUAUAUAGUUUGGAAUAUACUGGGUAAUUUGUAUAGUUUGGAAGAUACUGGGUAAUUUGUAUAGUUUCUAAAUAAUAUUACCCUUCAACCGUACAGAUUCAUACCAUAAACAGUUUUGGCGUGGUGGUGUGUUGGUUCAGUGGGACGGUACUCGAUGUUGAUGAUGGAGGCCUCGGGUACAACUCCUUGACUGUCUCUUAGGAGACAUUGAGCAGGUCGAGGCACAGAGGCAGAAUUCUCAAAGAUCAUGGAAUGACUGCAGAUUCAACUACAGUACAAAACCCUCUGUUAUUGGUGUGGUGCAGUAUGUGGUCAGUGUGGUGCAGUAUGAGGACACAAGUGAAGUGUGGAGCAGUAUGUGGGGACAACAGACCACGAGUGAAGCUUCUCACAAUACACAACGGUGUUCCUUCAGGUAACAGCUGAUGUACGUGAAGGCCAAUGGAGAAGUGACAGAACCUCGAGCAAGAUUUAACUACCAGCAUGUUACUUCAGCCUCAUCAGUUAAGUUACUUGUACAGUAUAUCUUAGCUAGUAUCUUUAUCCAAUAAACCACUCGACACUGCUCCUACACUGGGCAGUGGAGGGUGUGUGGGGGGUGGGGGU